CCUUCAUUGCUAUCAGAUUGUAUCAACUUUACAAAACACUUUCAACUUUUGGUCAGCAUUCUAUCAACUCAGUUGGGCUGUACUUCAUGUAGAUCGGGUUGUUGAAUUGUAUUAUUCACAUUUUGGAAGCCUUUUAGUGAGUUGGUAACUCGGUAUCC